UCAUUGGCAAAAUCCAAUGACAGGUUUGGUCACCUGAAAUUUUUAUACAGGCGCAUAGACGCCAGCUUGUUGCUGGUUUUUU
rnacentral:sRNA from 1 species